UGGCGCAGUUGGUUAGCGCGUAGGUCUCAUUUCUGUUGACUUUUAUUUAAGGUCGAGGGUUCGAACCCCUC
rnacentral:tRNA from 1 species